rnacentral:miRNA from 1 species
GCAGACACAUUCCAACCAAUCAGCAGCAGACCCUCCCUCCCAGACCCUCCCACCUCCUGGACAGCUCACUAAGAAUGCAGCUUCACAAUGAAUGUAAAAUGGAUGCUGUCCAGGAGGUGGGAGGGUCUGGGAGGGAGGGUCUGCUGCUGAUUGGCUGGAAUGUAUCUG